UAAUCUUAGUGAAAGUAGCUGUUGCAUAUUGAGGGCUUACUCUGCCCAGUGAGCUUCACAGGCAGCACCUGGUUGAAUUCUUCUGCUCUGAAGUAGAGAUGUCAUUAGCUGGACUUUAGGAACAAGGAAACCAGCAGAGAGAGGGAGGGUAGCUUGCUCGAGGUUCUACAACUAGUACCUCAUUUACUUAAAUAACACACCAGUUUGCAUCCCAUGGAUAAAACGGGAAUCUGCUGAUUUUGUUUAUGCAAAAAAAAAAAAAAGAAAA